UACCAGCACCCCGAGUGGUCGGGACGUUUAUUGGGCCUAAAGCAUCCGUAGCCGGUUCUGCAAGUCUUCCGUUAAAUCCACCUGCUUAACAGAUGGGCCGCGGAAGAUACUAUAGAGCUAGGAGGCGGGAGAGGCAAGCGGUACUCGAUGGGUAGGGGUAAAAUGCGUAGAGAUCAGGAAGAACACCGGUGGCGAAGGCGCUCUGCUAGGCCGCAACUGACACUGAGGGACGAAAGCUAGGGGAGCGAAUGGG
rnacentral:rRNA from 1 species